UACGGAGGGUGCAAGCGUUAUCCGGAUUUACUGGGUUUAAAGGGUGCGUAGGUGGGCAGGUAAGUCAGUGGUGAAAUCUCCGAGCUUAACUCGGAAACUGCCAUUGAUACUAUCUGUCUUGAAUAUCCUGGAGGUAAGCGGAAUAUGUCAUGUAGCGGUGAAAUGCUUAGAUAUGACAUAGAACACCAAUUGCGAAGGCAGCUUACUAAGCUGUAACUGACGCUGAGGCACGAAAGUGUGGGGAUCAAACAGG
rnacentral:rRNA from 1 species